rnacentral:lncRNA from 1 species
CGACCGGUGGUACAACAUGGAGUUCCGCCGAGGGUGGACAAAGGAGAGCCCAGCUGCUGAGCGGCCUGACUCCAGUUCCAGAGUUUGAAUGUAUUUCUUUACAUGAAGAGGACCUAGGGAUGAAAAAGUGAAUUCAGUUUUGUUUUAUAAUUUCUCACCUCUCAGCACAUCAGAAGUAAAUAUUGGCCCUGCACACUUGGAUCCUUCUAAGCAGUGGAUGCUUCUGUCAGGCUGAGACUAAGCUUUGUAGAAGAGGAGGAAGACAAGAGCUACCAUCUGGAGAGCAGAACGUUUUGGGAAGCCAUCAAAGGCAAAGAACCUAAGAAUCCAGGAAGAUCUUGAACUAUUACCCUUUACUUUAAUUUUUAAUCAUGGAAAUAUUUGCUUGGAAAAGAGACUGUGUCUACAAUGGCAACCAUUUUUAUAUUCAGAAAUUUGCCAUGUAAAAUAAUUGAAUGUCAGAUGAAGAACUGCCUGUCAUAUUUUGCUAUUAAAAUAAUAUAUUUUUAUGCAUAACCUGACCUGCCUUUGUGAGUUACUGUAGCCUGUGGUCUCUCUGCAAGAUUUUCCAAUGGGAUUUUUAAUAAUAUUCCGAUGUUUGCCAUCUUAAGCAGUGCAAGCUGUUAAACUCAAUUUGUGAAAAAAAAAAAAUCAGGUAUAAAACCAGAUAAUCUGUAUCCCUUUGGAAUCAAAAGUCACUUUGCCAAAAUAUUUUAACACGCAAAAUUGCUUCUUGAGAGAUGUUUGUCAUGAUAAAAUGACAGAAAACUACAUUUCCAUUAUAAUUAUAACUGACUCGUGGUGCUAAGUUUUUAUAAUUUAAAGGUAUUCUCAACUCUGACAGCCCUUCCAUGUUGAAUUAUGCAUCUCAGGCUCUUAAAUAGUUCUGCUGGCACGAGACAGCUGAGAUGAAGUUGUCUUUCUAAAAUAAUUGCUCCAUGGAGCAUCCAUUAUACCUUCAGAAAAAAUGUAUUACUUGACUUCUACAAAUUAUAGACUAGCCUAUAAUGGGUAUUUUUGACAGCUAUUAGCUUUAAAAA